UACGUAGGGGCCUAGCGUUGUCCGGAUUUAUUGGGCGUAAAGAGCUCGUAGGCGGUUUGGUAAGUCGGGUGUGAAAUCUCCACGCUCAACGUGGAGGGGCCACCCGAUACUGCCAUGACUGGAGUCCGGUAGGGGAGUGUGGAAUUCCCGGUGUAGCGGUGAAAUGCGUAGAGAUCGGGAGGAAUACCGAUGGCGAAAGCAACCGUCUGGGCCUGAACUGACACUGAGACACGAAAGCGUGGGGAGCAAACAGG
rnacentral:rRNA from 1 species